rnacentral:rRNA from 1 species
AUUGAACGCUGGCGGCAUGCCUUACACAUGCAAGUCGAACGGUAACGGGCCUUCGGGUGCCGACGAGUGGCGAACGGGUGAGUAAUGCAUCGGAACGUACCUUUCAGUGGGGGAUAACGUAGCGAAAGUUACGCUAAUACCGCAUAUUCUGUGAGCAGGAAAGCAGGGGAUCGCAAGACCUUGCGCUGAUUGAGCGGCCGAUGUCAGAUUAGCUAGUUGGUGAGGUAAAGGCUACACCAAGGCGACGAUCUGUAGCGGGGUCUGAGAGGAUGAUCCGCCACACUGGAACUGAGACACGGUCCAGACUCCUACGGGAGGCAGCAGUGGGGAAUUUUGGGACAAUGGGGGCAACCCUGAUCCAGCCAUGCCGCGUGAGUGAAGAAGGCCU